rnacentral:rRNA from 1 species
GCGCAGCAGUCGAGAAUAGUCUACAAUGGACGAAAGUCUGAUAGUGCGACGCCGUGUGUGCGAUUAAAUUCCUUCGGGAUGUAAAGCACUUUUCUAUGAGAUAAAAGCUCUUUAGGUUAAUAGCUUAUUGAGACGGAUAUUAUUAUAGGGAAUAAGCUCCGGCUAACUCCGUGCCAGCAGCCGCGGUAAUACGGAAGGAGCGAGCGUUGUCCGGAUUUACUAGGCGUAAAGGGCUAGUAGGCGACUAAUUAAGUUAUAUGUUAAAUCCCACGGCUCAACUGUGGUCCUGCAUGUAAUACUGGUUAGAUAGAGUACUGUAGAGGAAGGCAGAAUUCCUGGAGUAGCGGUGGAAUGCGCAGAUAUCAGGAAGAAUACCAAAAGCGAAGGCAGCCUUCUGGGCAGUUACUGACGCUGAAUAGCG